CGGGCUGGAGUAUGGUGGUAGUAUACACGCUUCGGGUGCGUGAGGACUGGGUUCGAUUCCCAGCAGCCCGA
rnacentral:tRNA from 1 species